rnacentral:misc_RNA from 1 species
UUUGAAGUUUACACAGAAUUGAUUAGCGUAAAAAAGAAUAUCAUUGGGCUGUCAUAAAGAUAUUGGAAAUUUCAUGAGUGAGAAAACUUAAGUUACAGUAAUUAUGUGCUUAUGUUUUUUCAAGUAGAAAUAAAUUAUUCAACAGUGCUGCCCUCCAUUUUUCUCUUUUGAAGAACUUCAAUAAUUGGUUUCUACAGUUGAAAUUUGUGAUUCUUUGUGGUUAAGCAUGAUAUCCUAUGAUUUAUUUCCUUAGCGUCAUGCUUGGUUGAGAGGAAG